rnacentral:rRNA from 1 species
AUGGGAAUUGUGAAGACCAGAGAAGGAGUCACCGAGGCGGCAAUUGCUGAAUUUCAAAACAGAUUCAAGGAGCAGCUCACUGAUGAGAUUAUCAAAGCAAUGCGGGAGAUUUUCAAGCUGGAUGAUGCUGCGGCCACGGCGGUGGAGGAGGCCAUGAUUGCUCAUGGAGGCCCUGAUGCCCUCGACCAUGAUGGGGAGUCUCUGGUGGCUGAUGCCUAG